CCAAUCUCUUUCAGAAGACUAGUCUAGCAGGCCGCCUUUGUGGACUGUGCUGCGUGGCCACGAAACGCAAGCAGAGGAGGGCCGGCCAUUUAUCAUCUACUGCUGUGUGGUAGCUAGCUAGUAUGUUACUGGUAUUGGCCCAGGCAAGCCUUGAGGAAAUCUGAAGAUUUUGUUCGCUCCCUUCUUCUUCUGCAACUGCAAGCAGAGCAAGUUUCUGUCUUGAUCGCUGUUGGUUGAAUGACCAUCAGUGGCUUCUCAGUCUAGCUACCCUCUCUAUUCAGGUGUAGCAGCAUCGUUUUCUCCUGGUGAUUGGCUAUAAUCUUGUAUUAGUAUCUAUUUUGAUAGGCUGGAAGACUGGGUGCAAGGUGUAUCAGCAUGGCUUUCUCCUGGUGAUUGGCCUAUAAUCUUAUAUUUCUAUUUUGAUUAUAGCUUGCACUCAGCCUUGCGGGAUCCUUAAACUAUCGAUAGGCUGGAAGGCUGGUUCUAAGGUAAGUCUUUCGACCGUACCUGAGAGAGGUUGGGACUUUGGUUUCAGAAAUACAGUGGAAUAAAUUAUGAUGAUUGAUAGGCUGCCAUGUACGAAACCAAUUAAAUUUAAGAUGGAUUAGACAAACAAUAAUAAAAGCUGGAUGAUUUUUUUGUAUCACUGUAUGUACUAACUAAAUGCAACAUUUUUGGUGCUAGUUCGGUGUGCAGGCUGCUAUGAAGUUGCCAUCCCAUGGACUUUCAACUGGGCAAAAAAAAAACCCAACAAACGAUGUAAAUUUGCAAUCAUAAAAAAUAAUUAAAGAACAGAAUGCCAAAUGAUCAAGAAUUUUGACCUCAAUACUUGGCGCUACCGCUCAAUCUGUAUGUGCAUAGCUAUGUUAUGUUAAAUUAUUCAAAAUGUCAAUGGCAGCCCACUAGUGAUAAAUUUCAAGCAUUGUCCCACAUUCAAAAGCAUGUUAUCAUACCUUGUGCAUUCAUUUUCAGCUUUCGGGUUCUUCCAUUCUUCGGGAAAAAUCAUCCUAGUGUUUUUGGUGGACCCCUGGCGCUGAGUUUGUCGGAUCCAUGGCGGCCAUAGUUGAAACUUUGCUUAAAUCAAGUGUCACUAAGUUGCAAGAUGUCAUUAUGGAUGAGGCCAUACUAAUCCUAGGGGUUGAAGAAGAACUAACAAAAUUGUUGCGACGAGUGGAACUAAUUCAGUGUUGUAUAUAUGAUGCUGAGAAAAGGAGGACAAAAGAGCAAGCAGUAAACAAUUGGCUUGGUCAAUUGAGAGAUGUUAUAUAUGAAGUUGAUGAAAUCCUGGAUGUGGCUAGAUGUAAAGGAAGCAAGCUACUUCUUAACCACCCUUCACCAUCAUCAGGCAAAUCAGUUGCAUGCAAAGGCCUUUCAGUUUCCUGUUGUUUUUGCAACAUAGUGGCACGCCAUGAUGUUGCUGUUCGGAUUAGAAGCCUCAAUAAAAAGAUUGAGAGCAUUGCAAAUGACAAGAUAUUUUCAACUUUCAAUAAUAGCACACAACCUAUUGGAAAUGGCCGAACAUCAAAACUGGUAAGAAGUUCCAACCUUGUUGAGCCCAACCUUGUGGGGAAGGAGAUUCUACAUUCUACCAGGAAGUUAGUGGACUUAGUUCUUGCACACAAGGAAUGCAAGUCUUACAAACUUGGUAUUGUUGGAACUGGAGGAGUUGGUAAGACAACCCUAGCUCAGAAAAUCUACAAUGACCAAAAAUUAAAAGGAUGCUUCAAGAUGCACGCAUGGAUUUGUGUAUCACAAGACUACAACGAAGUAACUCUUCUUAAAGAGGUUCUCCGGAAUGUUGGUGUGCAUCAUGAGCAGGGUGAAACCAUAGCAGAGCUGCAGAGGAAGCUUGCAGAAGCAAUUGAAGGGAAGAGUUUCUUUCUGGUUUUAGAUGAUGUGUGGCAUUCCAAUGUAUGGAUGGAUCUAUUAAGGCCUACAUUACACAAAACAAUGUCCGGAGUAAUAUUGGUAACCACACGAGAUGACCAAAUUACAAGGAGAAUAGGUGUAGAUCAUACCCAUCGAGUUGAUCUCAUGCCAGUAGAGGUGGGAUGGGAGCUACUUUGGAAGAGCAUGAACAUAGAGGAAGAGAAAGAAGUGCAAAAUUUAAGAAACAUGGGGAUUGAGAUUGUUCGUAAAUGCGGCCACCUCCCUCUUGCAAUCAAGGUUACCGCUAGUGCUUUGGCAAGCAGAGAUCUGACGGAGAAUGAAUGGAAAAAGUAUUUGGGCAAAUAUGCUGGUUCCCAGAGCAUGCUCUCAGAUGAAACAGAAGGAGCUCUGUACCUAAGCUAUGAUGGGUUGUCGCAUCGUCUUAAACAAUGUUUCCUUUAUUGUGCUUUGUAUGCUGAAGAUUCUAUCAUUGAGCGUGAAGAAGUUACCUGGUUAUGGAUUGCUGAAGGCUUCAUCGAGGAGUGGGAAGGCCAACUACUAGAAGACAUAGCAGAAGAGUACUACUACGAGCUAAUCCACCGGAAUCUCCUCCAACCAGAUAUCUCCUAUUUUGACAUGUCUCACUGCAAAAUGCAUGACCUCUUAAGACAACUUGCACUAAACAUAUCAGGAGAAGAAUGUUUUAUUGGAGAUGUUGAAACAUUAAUGGGUGAAAAUAUGUCAAAAUUGCGACGUGUUGCUGCUGUUACUAAGAAGGAUAUGUUGGUGUUAUCUAGAGUGGAUAAGGUGGAUGUUAAGGUCAGGACUUUCCUAACUGUUAAGGGUCCACGCAGAAUUGAGGAUACAUUGUUCAAGAGAUUUCGGCUUCUUCGUGUUUUGGUACUAAAUUACACACUUGUGCAAAGCAUUCCAGAAUACAUAGGGAAAUCGAUACAUCUACGUCUACUUAAUCUUAAUAAUACAGACAUAUCUUGUCUUCCGGAAUCCGUUGGCUGCCUAAAGAACCUUGAAGUACUGAGCUUGAUAUGGUGUGAUCAUCUGCACACUCUUCCUUCGGCAAUAACCCUGUUGAGCAGCUUAAGAUGUCUUGAUCUUCGCGGCACCGAAAUAAACGAGGUUCCAAAAGGGAUAGGGAAACUAAAGUUCCUCACUUAUGUAGUAGAUUAUCCUAUUGGUGAUGGAAGUGAUGAUACUGUUGUGCAAGAUGGAUGGAAGUUGGAAGAGUUGUCUUCUUUGUCGCAAAUGAGGUAUCUUAUUCUUGCUAAACUGGAAAGAGUGGCUCCUUGUAGUACAAAUGAUGUGCUGACAGACAAGGAGCACUUGAAAAAUCUAGUACUAAAGUGGUCCAUUUUUGGAGAGGGUACAUAUUCAGAAGAUGACGUUGGCAACACUGAGAAGGUCUUUGAGCAGCUAAUACCUCCACACAACCUGGAAGGCCUAUCAAUUAAUAGUUUCUUUGGUCAGCGUUAUCCCAGCUGGUUUGGUACCACUUGUUUGUCUUCGUUAAUACACUUGAAACUCCUGGGUGUACGAUCAUGUGUGCAUCUUCCACCGAUCUGGCACCUACCAAACUUGAAAUAUGUGAAAAUUGAAGGAGCACAUGCAGUUACCAAGGUUGGACCUGAAUUUGUUGGCUGCAAGAAGGGUGAUCAUGUAUGUAAUGAGUUUGUCGCUUUCCCUAAACUUGAAUUGUUGAUCUUCUCAGAUAUGCCUAACUGGGUGGAGUGGUCUAUUUUUGAGGAAGAAGUUGCUGAUGAUGAACAGGGAGAGGAUGGAGUUGAUGAGAUUCGAAGAGAGGAUGCCCCAUCUACAAGGUUGCGACUGCUGCCUCGUUUGUUGGAGUUGUACCUCCAUUACUGCCCGAAGCUGAGGGCUCUCCCGCAACAACUUGGAAAAGACACCGCCUGCUUGAAGGAGCUCAAUUUAAGAGGACUGAACAACUUGAAGGCCAUGGAGGACCGCCCAGUGCUCUCUAAACUCCUUGUUAUUGACGAUUGUGAAGGCCUGGAGAAGGUCUCCAAUCUCCCUUGUGUGACUGAACUGCAUGUAGGUGGUUGUCCAAACUUAAGCAACGUAGCAGGAUUGGGCAGUUUGCAUCAGCUGGGGUUGGACAAGGAUAUGCAAGAGAUCUCUUCAUGCUGGGUGCAUGGGCUUCAAGAGCAGUACCAGCGACUUCAUGGUGAAGAUCUGGAUAUCUACACGCUGUUUAAGAAGUAGAUGGCUGGCUCAAGGUAUAUAUGAAGACUGCACACUGGUUGGAUAUUUAGUAUUAGUAUUGUCUUUUAUCGUGUCAACCAUGGUUCAUAUUCUCACAAGUACGUGCAUUGGAAGUUUGAAAUGCCAUGCGGUUACUUAGAUUAUCAUAAUCAUCCUUUUAGAGUUUAUAAUAUUGGCAUCUAAACCUAAUUUCUCAGCAUGUGUUCUUCCAUAAACCAAAUUGUGUUUCCUAAUUCAUAUUAUAUACUCGGCAAAAUGGUGUCAGCCUAGGACUGGUGGCGCAGAUCUUUUCGGCUGGCAAAGCGCGGGGCAUACUAAGUUGAGGAAGCCUAUCCAUGCUGAAGAUGUGCAAGUGUGCCAUGGUCUGUAGCGAGCUGGUGAAAGAAGUGUCCUAUUUUUCUUUGGGCAGGUGCCCUGGAAUUAAUGUAUCCAGCUUCAUCUUAUUUCUUUCUGAACUUGUCCCAGAGACCUUUGUUGUCCUGAAUCUGCACGGCAUAGUUUUGUUCUUUGGAUGUAACCCGCGUAUUUCGAUUUAUUUCAUUCUGAACUCGGGGUCAGAGGCCCUUUCCUGUAGUGAACCUGCGUGCCACGGUUUUUUGUUGUUUGAAUGUAAUAGAUGAAUUUCGUUUGGCACGAUUUUGUUCUUUGAGUGGAAGUGAUGAAUUUUAUUGUGUUUCAUUCUGAGUUUUGGGCCUGAGGCGUUGCCACACUGAAACUGCAUAACCUGUAUUGCC
rnacentral:rRNA from 1 species